AUUGAACGCUGGCGGCGUGCUUAACACAUGCAAGUCGAUCGGUAACGCGGGGGCAACCCUGGCGACGAGAGGCGGACGGGUGAGGAACGCUUGGGAAUCUGCCUAUCAGCGGGGGACAACCCGGGGAAACUCGGGCUAAUACCGCAUACGCUCUACGGAGGAAAGCCGGGGACCGCAAGGCCUGGCACUGAUAGAUGAGCCCAAGUCGGAUUAGCUAGUUGGCGGGGUAACGGCCCACCAAGGCGACGAUCCGGAGCUGGUCGGAGAGGACGCGCAGCCACACUGGGACUGAGACACGGCCCAGACUCCUACGGGAGGCAGCAAUGGGGAACGUUGGACGAUGGGGGAAACCCUGAUCCAGCGACGCCGCGUGGGUGAAGAAGGCCUGCGGGUUGUAAAGCCCUUUCGGUAGGGACGAAAGCUCUCGACCUAACACGUCGGGAGGUUGACUUAACCUACAAAAGAAGCACCGGCUAACUCUGUGCCAGCCGCCGCAGUAAUAC
rnacentral:rRNA from 1 species